rnacentral:rRNA from 1 species
UACGGAGUGUGCAAGCGUUACUCGGAAUCACUGGGCAUAAAGCGCGCGUAGGCGGGUUUCCAAGUCGGUUGUGAAAUCCCUCAGCUCAACUGAGGAACUGCAUCCGAUACUGUUUUGUCUUGAGGACGAGAGGGGAGAGUGGAACUUCUGGUGAGGCGGUGAAAUGCGUAGAUAUCAGAAGGAACGCCGGUGGCGAAAGCGACUCUCUGGCUCGUAUCUGACGCUGAGGCGCGAAAGCGUGGGGAGCGAACAGG